UGUGGGGUAGUAUAAGAGGUACGUUAGGUUUUGGUCCUGAAGGUGGAAGUAAUAAUCCUUCUCUCCGCAG
rnacentral:tRNA from 1 species